UAGGUAACAACAUUUGGUCUA
rnacentral:snRNA from 1 species